UACGAAGGGUGCUAGCGUUGUUCGGAAUCACUGGGCGUAAAGCGCGCGUAGGCGGCUUGUCAAGUCAGGGGUGAAAUCCUGAGGCUCAACCUCAGAAUUGCCUUUGAAACUAGCAGGCUGGAGUGUCGGAGGGGAUAGCGGAAUUCCUAAUGUAGAGGUGAAAUUCGUAGAUAUUAGGAGGAACACCGGUGGCGAAGGCGGCUAUCUGGACGACAACUGACGCUGAGGCGCGAAAGCGUGGGGAUCAAACAGG
rnacentral:rRNA from 1 species